rnacentral:rRNA from 1 species
CCUACGGGAGGCAGCAGUGAGGAAUAUUGGUCAAUGGACGAGAGUCUGAACCAGCCAAGUAGCGUGAAGGAUGACUGCCCUAUGGGUUGUAAACUUCUUUUAUAUGGGAAUAAAAUGUUCCACGUGUGGGAUUUUGUAUGUACCAUAUGAAUAAGGAUCGGCUAACUCCGGUCCAUCCGCCGCGGUAAUACGGAGGAUCCGAGCGUUAUCCGGAUUUAUUGGGUUUAAAGGGAGCGUAGGUGGAUUGUUAAGUCAGUUGUGAAAGUUUGCGGCUCAACCGUAGAAUUGCAGUUGAAACUGGCAGUCUUGAGUACAGUAGAGGUGAGCGGAAUUCGUGGUGUAGCGGUGAAAUGCUUAGAUAUCACGAAGAACUCCGAUUGCGAAGGCAGUUCACUGGACUGCAACUGACGCUGAGGCUCGAAAGUGUGGGUAUCAAACAGGAUUAGAUACCCUUGUAGUC